UCGUGAUCGUACCAUCGUAAAGGAGGCUCAUACAACAAGAAGCUUUGGAAAUCAGAACUGAAUUGGAAGUAGCAACAGCUAUGUACACAUAUCAUCAGAAGCAGGCAAAUAUCAAUUGUUAAUUACAGUAAAUAACUUGAGUAGUGAAGUCUACAUUUUUAGCUGAAGUUUUAAUUAAUUAAGUGAAAAUUUCCCAUAGUGGUGUUAGCAUCAUAAAUCAUAUCAAUAUAAUAAAAUAUAGAACGAAUCUAUAUCAUCAUCCACUUGAAAAGAAGACUGAAAGAAGACCAGCAAGUUACCCUAAAAAGAGAACACAGGAGUCAUUCGGAAGAAAAAUCAGAAAGUAUUUACACACUUGUUUUAAUAGAUUAUGAUUAAAUUAUUUAUUAUACUCUCGCAACAAUGUUGCUAAGGAGAGUAUUAUAGUUUUGUUCACAUAACGGUUGU